rnacentral:rRNA from 1 species
ACAUGGCACCAGGAUACAAAAUAACAUCUGGUGUCGCACCUGCCCGGUGGAUAUUAUUUCUAAACGGCUGCGGUACCCUGACCGUGCAAAGGUAGCAUAAUCAUUUGCCUUUUAAUUGGUGGCUGGAAUGAAUGGUUUGUCAGUACCCCUGCUGUCUCCUAUUUAAUUUAAUCGAAAUUGACCUUUAGGUGAAGAGGCCUAAUUCCAAAUAAAGGACGAGAAGACCCUAUAGAGCUGAAUCUUAAAAGAUUAGUAUAAUCUUUUAGAGCUUGAUUGGGGUGAUCAGGGAGGAAACGAACCCUCCCUAGAAAUUUUAACACUAUAAGAACCAGGUUUGACUCUGAAUUUAGGUCAGCUACCCUAGGGAUAACAGCACAAUUUUUUUUGAGAGACCUUAUUGAAAAAAAAGAUUAUGACCUCGAUGUUGGACUAGAGAAACAGAAAGGUGUAGCAGCUUUUCCUGUGAGCCUGUUCGGCUUUUAAACCUCUAC